ensembl:Mt_tRNA
GUUAGGGUGGCAGAGCCCGGUUACUGCGAAAGGCCUAAGCCCUUUCAACAGAGGUUCAAAUCCUCUCCUUAGCU